rnacentral:rRNA from 1 species
ACUCCUACGGGAGGCAGCAGUAGGGAAUCUUCCACAAUGGGCGCAAGCCUGAUGGAGCAACACCGCGUGAGUGAAGAAGGGUUUCGGCUCGUAAAGCUCUGUUGUUAAAGAAGAACACGUAUGAGAGUAACUGUUCAUACGUUGACGGUAUUUAACCAGAAAGUCACGGCUAACUACGUGCCAGCAGCCGCGGUAAUACGUAGGUGGCAAGCGUUAUCCGGAUUUAUUGGGCGUAAAGAGAGUGCAGGCGGUUUUCUAAGUCUGAUGUGAAAGCCUUCGGCUUAACCGGAGAAGUGCAUCGGAAACUGGAUAACUUGAGUGCAGAAGAGGGUAGUGGAACUCCAUGUGUAGCGGUGGAAUGCGUAGAUAUAUGGAAGAACACCAGUGGCGAAGGCGGCUACCUGGUCUGCAACUGACGCUGAGACCCGAAAGCAUGGGUAGCGAACAGGAUUAGAUACCCUGGUAGGAUAGCG